GAUGAACGCUAGCUACAGGCUUAACACAUGCAAGUCGAGGGGCAGCGCAGUGUAGCAAUACAUGGGCGGCGACCGGCGCACGGGUGCGUAACGCGUAUCCAACCUUCCCGUUACUCAGGGAUAGCCUUCCGAAAGGGAGAUUAAUACCUGAUGGUGUUGAAAUUCCGCAUGUUAUUUCAACUAAAGAUUUAUCGGUAACGGAUGGGAAUGCGUGACAUUAGGUAGAUGGUAGGGUAACGGCCUACCAAGGCAACGAUGGGUAGGGGAGCUGAGAGGUUUAUCCCCCACAUUGGUACUGAGAUACGGACCAA
rnacentral:rRNA from 1 species